rnacentral:lncRNA from 1 species
CAAACUCUCGCAGAAGGUUUGGGGGAGGAAGUAUUCUGCCUCUUUGUCUAUUAAGCAUUAAUCUUUCCGGUUCUGUGGCCGGUGUAGAGAAUCAAACCACUGUCUACAGUUUCAAGAGCUUCUUGUUCUUCAUCGGUUGCUUUUCCGAACAGCCUCAUCCUUUUCAAUCUUCUGGAUUGUUAGGGAGCAUAUCCUUGAUGGUGUGAUGGUUGAGGCCGAGAUGCAGGCCCGGCCGUUGGCAUAUGCUCAAAGUCCGUUUGCACUGGAUCCAUUUGUUUUUGCAAUAUUUUUGUUAGAGACUGAAGGUCUUAUAAAAAAAAAUU